rnacentral:lncRNA from 1 species
UUCUGUUUAACACAAUAGUGUUUGAUUUUCUAUUUGGUUCCAAUGUUUGAACUUUGUUGAUGAUGCUAAUUGAUAGGUAGGUACUAAUCUUAUCUAACUGCUCAACAUUGUGCUUCAACAAAUUACUCGAAUAUCUAACACCUAUUCUUUGUUUCCAUUUUCAUGUAUGACGGAGAAAAUUGGUAAAAAGGAAACUGUUUCUGUCUGACCAGCUGAAAUCAAAUU